GAUGAACGCUGGCGGCGUGCCUAAUACAUGCAAGUCGAGCGAACAGACGAGGAGCUUGCUCCUCUGACGUUAGCGGCGGACGGGUGAGUAACACGUGGAUAACCUACCUAUAAGACUGGGAUAACUUCGGGAAACCGGAGCUAAUACCGGAUAAUAUAUUGAACCGCAUGGUUCAAUAGUGAAAGACGGUUUUGCUGUCUCGUAUAGAUGGAUCCGCGCCGCAUUAGCUAGUUGGUAAGGUAACGGCUUACCAAGGCGACGAUGCGUAGCCGACCUGUGAGGGUGAUCGGCCACACUGGAACUGAGACGCGGUCCAGACUACUACGGGAGGCCGCAGUAGGGAAUCUUCCGCAAUGGGCGAAAGCCUGACGGAGCAACGCCGCGUGAGAGAUGAAGGUCUUCGGAUCGUAAAACUCUGUUAUUAGGGAAGAACAAAUGUGUAAGUAGCUAUGCACGUAUUGACGGUACCUAAUCAGAAAGCCACGGCUAACUACGUG
rnacentral:rRNA from 1 species